CCCCGGCGCCACAAGUGGUUAUCACGAUUAUUGGGCCUAAAGCGUUCGUAGCCGGUUUGGUACAUCUCUUGUGAAAUUGUUCGGCUUAACCGGACAGCGUGCAGGAGACACGGCCAAACUCGAGACCGGGAGGCGUAAGAAGUAUUCCAUGGGGACUGGUAAAAUGGGAUAAUCCAUGGAAGACUACCGAUGGCGAAGGCAUCUUACGAGAACGGAUCUGACGGUGAGGAACGAAAGCCAGGGGAGCGAACCGG
rnacentral:rRNA from 1 species